rnacentral:rRNA from 1 species
AUUGAACGCUGGCGGCAGGCCUAACACAUGCAAGUCGAACGGUAACAGGAAGCAGCUUGCUGCUUUGCUGACGAGUGGCGGACGGGUGAGUAAUGUCUGGGAAACUGCCCGAUGGAGGGGGAUAACUACUGGAAACGGUAGCUAAUACCGCAUAACGUCGCAAGACCAAAGAGGGGGACCUUAGGGCCUCUUGCCAUCGGAUGUGCCCAGAUGGGAUUAGCUAGUAGGUGGGGUAACGGCUCACCUAGGCGACGAUCCCUAGCUGGUCUGAGAGGAUGACCAGCCACACUGGAACUGAGACACGGUCCAGACUCCUACGGGAGGCAGCAGUGGGGAAUAUUGCACAAUGGGCGCAAGCCUGAUGCAGCCAUGCCGCGUGUAUGAAGAAGGCCUUCGGGUUGUAAAGUACUUUCAGCGGGGAGGAAGGGAGUAAAGUUAAUACCUUUGCUCAUUGACGUUGCCCGCAGAAGAAGCACCGGCUAACUCCGUG